AACGAACGCUGGCGGCAUGCCUAACACAUGCAAGUCGAACGAGACCUCCGUGUCUACUUGCUCACGCGUGCGUAACGCGUGGGAACCUUCCCUUAGGCUCCGAAUACCUCCCCGAAAGGGGUGCUAAUACCGGAUAAUGUCUUCGAACCAAACAUUUAGCGACUUUGGAUGGGCCCGCGUUGGAUUAGCUAGUUGGUAGUGUAAAAGCCUACCAAGGCGACGAUCCAUAGCUGGUCUGAGAGGAUGAUCAGCCACACUGGGACUGAGACACGGCCCAGACUACUACGGGAGGGAGCAGUGGGGAAUAUUGGAAAAUGGGGGAAAGGAUGAUCCAGCAAUGCCGGGUGAGUGAUGAAGGCCUGAGGGUUGUAAAGCUGGUUUACACGGGAUGAUAAUGACAGUACCGGGAGAAUAAGCGCCGGCUAACUCCGUG
rnacentral:rRNA from 1 species